CUUAUAUCCAUAGCGAGGAAAGGGCUUUGAUCCGUCGCUGCAUUUGUACUGGCAGAGGCCGUCCUCGCCGCCCAGGAGGUCGAGCGCCGCGUUGAGGUAAACGUCGAUCUUGUGCACGCCGUUCCGGAUAGUUUUCAGCGUCAUCCUCCAGUCUGGGGUCUGCGGCGCCUCCUGGCUCCGGGCCGCCGGCGGCCGCGGGCCCACCCAGGCACCCGCCAUCAGCAGCGGCAGCAGCAGCAGGGCGCGGGCCAUGCCCGAGGAGCCGCGCCCCGCGCCGCCGGGCGCUCGCUAAGCCCCCGCCGCGCGGCCGCAGCGCUCCGCACGCACGGCCCGGCCCGCCGCCAUCGGCCCCGCGGGCGCCGCCCCUACGGCUGGGCGGGACUGCGAGCAGGGCGCGGCCUGUUGGAGAAGGCGGCCGGCGUCCGCUCCUGGCCCGGCGCUGCGGUGUGGGGUGCUGGGAGCGGAGCUGCUCCGGGAUCUUUCCACGUGCGAGCGAUUCGCUUUCAGGUGAGGCAGGGUGGAACCACACGGGAAUCGUUCUAAUUUCUGCAACGAAAGCCUUGUUUUAAGACGUGUGGAAUUCCUCAAAAGACGGACAGAGGGAUUUUAGGACACAGGUAACUGCAGGGGACGGGAAAUAUAAAGAACAUGGAAAGGCUUCCGGAUCUGCAGGCGGGCGCGAAAGUACCCGGUAAAUGCUGCUGCGUGUUUGGGCUUUUGUUUGUUUGUUUUUCCUCUCCAGUCUUUGCCGUUCAUUAUUGUUAACUGGAGAAACAGUAGGAAAAGCUGUUAGCAGAUGUUGUCUGCUAACAGACAGAAGAGGGAGCUCUUGCCGCGCCUACCCUGGGAAGUGCCCGUCCCUGCGGCUGCUGUACGGAAGCCCUCCUUCGGCAGAGCAGUUCCAGGGAAGGGGCGUGGAACGAAAGCGGUCUCUACUCUUACUUUGCUUGGAGGUGACUGACAGGGCCUUACUUGCCAAAUUCAUGCUGAUGCGGCUCCAUGCUCAGCGGAGGAUGAAGUCAGUGAAAAUGUAAAAAUGUUGCCUGAAGCAAAUAAUGGUGUCUUAUUAAAAACCAAACUCCAGGCAAGCCCUCAGACUCAGAGAACCCACCCUUUUUCCCUCAACAUCCUUGCGUGAGCGUAUGCUAUUGAGUUGGUGGGACAGCUGAUUGAGAGGGAUGAAGUAAAAAUAGGUGUUCAAACACUUGUAAAUUGGAAUCCAGCAAACUGUUACAGAGCUGUUGCACAGUUUGACAGGACUGAAAUGGUCCUGAAGUCAUUUGUACCAAUCCAAAAGCCAACUACUGGCUUUUAAAAAAGAGCCAGAACUUUCCUAGUGGACUCAGGGCCUGCCCUACCUACCACAUCAUUCUGCUUUUGGGUAACUUUCUGAAUCACUGCAUGGCCAAACUGCCUGUGACUGCACAGCACAGGAUCAGGCCCCUGUAAGGGUGUGUUUUUUUUCUUUGUGUCACUGUUUUGUGCUUGUGUCUGUUGGUGCAGGAAGCUUCUGCUCGAGUAGUUGAGUGAUUUAAACAAAUCUCACGAUCGUGUUCAGUCCAUCAGUUAACACACGGUCUGAAGUUCUGUUUCUCAGUAAGCCUAAAGGAUCAUCAGCCCAGCAAAGCGGCAUCCUGAGGGUUUCUAAUGACCUACCCCCCAGUAUGAUGGAACUGCUUUUACAUUCUCUGGUUGCUGUCCUUUCUGUAACGUUCACAUAUUGCCAGUGCAGUUGUUUUCCAACCACUGCUUUCAGUAUGGUUGUCCAUUUAAAAUAAACAGUUACUACUGAAAUGUGGUGUGCAAUGUGGGGAGAGGGAAAAGAAAUAGCAACAACAAAAGGACAGAUGCUUGAAUUUCCCUGCAGUAAACAUGGUUUUAUUAGAUAAUUUUGCUGUGGACUUACAUGACUGCAAAACUCUUUUGUACAGACUUCUGUAAAAUUGUAGUAUUUGUAGAGAGCUGAACGUUUUCAAACUACAUUAUUUCAUGAUUUAUACUAAUAGUUGCUAAGGCACAUGGCUGCUAUAGUAAAAAUGGACUAGUGUUCAUUUCUGCAUGGAUGGUAACAAGUGUUUAGUUUGCUGAGCUUCAGAUAUUAUACCGUGAAAUGAGACUCCUUGACACAUGGUGGCUAAUCCAGUCGUAAUAGCUGGCUACUUGUGUGUAGACGCCGGGGUGACCGGCCUCCCCACAGUUUUCACCCCAACUCACAACACCCCAGACAUAAGCCACAUUUUCUGCAUCAAAGCAAACCAGGGGACCUCCUGAAUCACCUUUGCAGCUGUCAAUGGAGCCAUCGUAAGUACCUGCGGCAAAAGAGGGUGGGGGAACAACAACAACUCAAAAGUAAGUUUAUAUGCAAGCUAGCACACAAAGUAGAGCUCAGGAGGCUUUUUAGAUCCAUGUCACUUCCUGACAGGUGUCUGCCUAGCAGUCACUACUACUGGAAGUUCCCAGUCUCUUUGGUCUACUAUUUCUUAAUUAUUUUGAAGUGCAGCCCCCCCUCUUUACAAUUUUGGCUGGCCCAAAAGCUCAUUUGCUUUCACGUCAGGAAUGUGAUUCUUCUUGUGACAGAGAAGAAUUCAGACAUAUUGUAUAUUAUAUCAUUAGAAGUAGCUUAUAAAAAGGGGACAGAAGGUAGAAGAAAAGGGUAAGAAGAUUAGUGGACCGAUCCCUCUGGAAAUUAAGCUAUUAUAAUAUGCAUGUUCCUCUACAUCUGCUAUUGAUGUUCUCUCUACCUAGUAGUACAUUGGCCAAUUUGAUCUGAGCUACGCAGAAGUAGAAACCUCAAAAUUAAUUUCUCUGCAGGCUUUAUGGCAAAAGGUGGGCAGAUCCAAGGAUAGUACAUGAAUGAUGGGAUACAAGAGAGUGUAACUGUCUUUAACUGAGCCCUUGCAGAUAUGGCACUUGAAGUGUGGACCUUCUGGAGCACCAGGUGACAGCUCUGAGACAUAAACAUAUGGGCUGUGGUGCUCUCUACAAGUUUCUGGGGUUUUGAAGCUACUUGUUUCCAACUUAGCAAAUGUAGUGGUUGUAAUAAAUAAAUAAAGAUGAAAGAAUAUGAUAUAGGCAAAAACUUGCUAGAGAGUUGGAAUACAAUUUAUCCUUUGUCCCACAGACUCAGUAGAAGUGUGUAAAGACAUCUUUAUGUCCUUCUUUAUACUCGGUUGAUCCACCUAGUUUGAAGGAACCCAUACUAAGCAAGGCUCCCCACGUUUUUAAACAUGUAACCUCUUUCUUGAGUCUCUACAUCACUGAGAAAGAGUUCUGUGAAUGUUUCAGGAUUGGAAAGACCAAUUCUAUAAAACUAGAUUUUGUUCCCCAUACUCAGUUGAAUUAACGUUACCUUCUAUCAGUAGUUCCAGCAGAUACCAGUCCUUAAUUCCAAAAUUUGUAUCUGCAUUCACGUUGUACUGAAUUUAUUCACAAAUGGUUAAGUUUUUAUAUCCAGUUUUAAUUUGUCUUGUUAUGUACUUUGUUUAAAUACUGCCUUCACUUCAGAGUUAAAGAACAGUUGAAACUAUCUGUCCUGUAAGUUGAAAACUCAUUGCUCUUUAAGACAUGUGUUUGGCAAUACCUUUUGUUACUUGAAAAGCAAAAAUGUGUACUCAAAAUGCUUAUUUUAGUAUUAGGAAUGACAACCAGUUUCCUGGCCAGACUAAUCUUUGUUUGAAAAGUUUAUAGUAUUUUUCCUGGGGUGUGGUUUAGUGGUAGAAAAUAUCUCAGCAGAUGAAUAGUCACAUGCUAGUCAAUAGGACUGUGAAUGUGCUCCAAAAAAGGCAUUUGCUUUAAUAUGUUCCUGAAGCAGAAUGAAAUAGAGGUAGGAGGAAGUUCAGUGGGCUGUAAUCUGCUUGUGUGUUUAGAAAACAUGACUCCAACUGUGUGCUGAAAUUUGCUUACAGUCACUGAAACUUGGCAUUCUGUCACCAUAACUGUUUAUAAUUAGAUAGAUAACAACAGAUGACUGUAGACUCCAGUGGCUAGUGCUUUGCUAAUGACAAUGCCGUUGCAUUUGGUUUCUUGCAUUUUCCAAGUCUAAAAGAUUCCCAGCCUGUAUGUCAGUCCUUAGCAACGGUGGGCAUGAUGGUAAAGUUAUAGUAAGAAAAUUCAUACUUGCCUGCACAUGCCAUUUUUUGAAAGAAUCGUCCUGGAUACAUUUCAGAACAAUUCUGAAAUAAAUUAACAUUUCCCCAUUUGAGCACAUAUUGUUUGGUAUAACCUAGAAAAGAAAAUGAUAAACUUUUCUAAAUUUAAACUGAUAAAUGUGUAUGAAACACUUUUAAUAUCAUAAUAUGAAAGUUAUAGAUUUGCUAAUCUACUGAAUUUAAUCUUAGAUAUUAUAAACCAGGUACCUUAAACUGCUGCUAACACUUGCCCCACAUCCACUGCCCAUAUGUUUCAAAAUCAAAGCAGAGUGGUUAAAUUGCAGUAUUAAAUGCAGUAGUUUCAUUUUUUUGUAAUUUUUACUCCUUCCCUUUGUUACUUUCUUCAAUUUUUUCCAUGUUUUCCAUAUCAGGGUUUCCAGACACUGGGAGACCAGUAUAUUGUUUUCUGUGAAAUGGAGAAACGCCUCUGAUCAUCCUUGUUACUUCUUUCUCAGAAAGAUGAGAGGACUGGAACUUGCAGAUACAGAUCAUUCCCCUGGUGUGAUUUUCACUCUUCCUGGUCACCCACAAGCUAUACUCUUCAAAAAUCAGCUGAAGUGCACAACAGAUGAUAAACAUUUCAAGCCAGUGGUUUAUAGCACACCACAACAAUGGAACUGUGAGCAAAUUAAAAUAUAAGGGGACUUCACAGAAUCACACAGAAUGGCCUGGGUUGGAAGGGACUUCAAGGAUCAUGAAUCUCCAACCCACCCCCCUGCCCCCCCGGCACUGGCAGGGCCACCAACCUCUACAUUUAAUACUAGAGCAGGCUGCCAAGAGCCCCGUCCAGCCUAGCCUUGAACACCUCCACGGAUGGGGGAUCCACAACCUCUCUGGGCAGCCUGUUCCAGCACCUUACCACUCUCACAGUAAAGAACUUGCCCCUGACAUCCAACCUAAAUCUUCCCUCCUUCAACUUAAAACCAUUUCCCCUUGUCCUGCUAUUAUCUCCCCUUUCAAAGAAUUGACUCCCCUAACUUGGCUUAAACACCAGAAAAAUGAAAUUAAAAAAAAAAGAGUAGCAACUUGAUUUUUUUUCAAGACCUUUUUAUUGUCCCAGUUGACCCAGUUGACAUAACUAUAGCCAAUAACUACUUAGAAACAAAUAAAUCUAAAAUUGAAGAUGUGUUUCAUUGCAAGUAACAAGUAUUAAGUAUCUUCAACAAAUGUGAAAAUUAAGUGCCCUUCCCAGUCUGUUUUGUUCCCAUAUCUUGGAUGGCAGUGGGUUUGCAGUGUGGUUUCUGGUUGUUGUGGACUGCAAGGAGUGCUCCUUAUCCCUCCAUCUGACCAUCUGUCUCUAGGUGAGUGAUAACACCUAUCCUGGCAGCUCUCUGGUUAUUCCAUUGCUGGCUGAGUGCUUUUGCUCACUAAGAUGUGUGUGCAGGGGGAAUGUUGAAAUGUGAAAAAUAUGUAGCUAGACUUUGCAUAAAGAUGAGAAAGAAAUGUCAGUUGUCAGAUCGGAUUUAUCGGCUUUGAGUGCAUCCACUGAAUCAACAGAGCCAAAGUUUAAAGUUCUCGUGAAGAAAUCCUGGCCUAAGUAAAGGCAGUGGGAAUGUCGCCAGGGCUGAAUUUAUUCCGAGCCCCUCCCACCCUUUUAAGGGCUGUAUAAUCUUAAUAAAUUCUUCCUGUUCUUCUCAGGUCAGUAGAAUCCUAUGCAUUAUCUUUAGAUUUACAUACCAAACUCUGAGCCAGGCCCGGCUUGGCAUAACUCCUGUAUUGCACUAGAUGUUUCUCUUUAGCUCUGACAGAAUAGCAACAAAAGGGGCUGAUCUUUACCUACGGGUUUUUCUUGGAAAGCUCAGGCUAUGCUGAACAUGGAGCCCAUCAGGACUCCUUGAGAGGCUUUUGCCAGAAGAGAUUUUACAACAAAAGCUUUCUGAGCUGAGCCACACUUGCAGGUUGGGUUUAGCAUAGCAUCCCGAUUAAAAGAUUUUCCAAAAGGCUGUUAAUGUAAACCUCAGAUAGAACCGAUAUACAGAGGAGAAACAGCAAGAUUCACAUUUUCAAGCUGGACUAAAACAAAUGUACGAAAUGCAGAUGCUGCAAAAGGAAAUUAAAAAAGACUUUGUUUUUAUAAUAAUAAAUUGUUUUAACUGUUUGCUGUUGGUUGGUUUGUUUUUAAAAUAAGGGGAUACCACAAUAAAAUAAGUUCUUACCUGUGCUCGACAGAAAGAAAAGAGAGAGAAGCAAACCAAGAGAACUGCAACCACUCUCAUGAUGAGGUUUUAUGUCUUUGUAGAGAAAUUCCCCUGGCCGGGACUUUCCCAAUUGCCAGUCGUUAGGUUUGUGUUUAAUUUUUAACCUUUGGUAAAACACUCUGAAGUGGACUCAGAAACAACUACGGGAGCCUUAGAUAUCAACGGAUGAGUCUGCUCUCUCCACACGGAUCCCACCCCAUUUAACCUGUUUUACUGUAAAUAGAGACCAAAGGGAAGCCCUUGAAGCCAACGGUUACAAGGGAGUGCUCAGCAGGGUCUCUCGCUCCCCGCCUGCUGCCAACGCAGACCGAUGGAGCCGCGGGCCGAUCUCCUGGCAGCAGGCACCCCGCUCUGCAGGGAGCUGUUAGGGCAGGUGCGUUCUUAGGUGAGAUACGUGUGUCUGUAUGCAGGCAGGCAAACGGAACGGAUCAACUCCACUAUCUCCGUGCGAGAGCGUAACCGGCGGAGCCUUGCUCAGAGAACUGUUGGGGCAGUGGCCAAUCCACUGCAUCCCACCUGCGGGCGGUUUCCGGGAGAACCGCGGUCUCGGCCGGCACAACGGAACGGCUCCUGCGA
rnacentral:lncRNA from 1 species